rnacentral:lncRNA from 1 species
UGCUGGAUGUUAUUAGAACAACGGCACAUAAAGUAGAAGAAGGCAUUCUUGGUCUCAUGUCAAUGUCAACGGAAUUGGAAGAGAUUUUCCAGUCAAUCUAUCAUGGAAGGGUCCCGAAAUUGUGGGGAAAGCUUUAUCCGUCGAAAAAACCGCUCGCUUCCUGGAUUCGAGAUCUUAAUGCUCGUGUUCAUCACUUUAAUACUUGGACAGUCACUUCAAGGACCCCUACAAUAUUUUUGAUCUCGGCAUUUAUUCACCCUAUCAGUUUUUUGACCGCUGUCCAGCAAUCAAGUGCCCAUACGCUCAAUGUAGAUCAUUUUCUUGAUUAUUAGGUUCCUUUUGACAAUUUGAUCUCUGAAUUCAACGUCCUCACGAUUAGCGACAAUGAUGUAACAGGAUCUCCAUCAGAAGGAGUGUUGAUCAAGGGGAUCCACUUGCAAGGAGCAGGUUGGGACAUUAAAAACGCAAGUCUGGUGGAACCAGAGCCAAUGAAGCUAAUUUAUAAUAUGCCUUCUGUACAUUUGAAGCACUUGGAAGCAAAGAAGAAAAAUUUAAAAGGAAUAUACCAAUGUCCUGUCUAUAUGACGUCCGAUCGUGCUGAAAUGCGGGUGUUUGUAAUGGACGUUAAAAGUGGAGAUAAAGCAGCCGACCAUUGGAUUAAAAGGGGAGCAGCAAUGAUUCUUAAUCUUGAUGAUUA